GAUGAACGCUGGCGGCGUGCCUAAUACAUGCAAGUCGAGCGAACGGACGAGAAGCUUGCUUCUCUGAUGUUAGCGGCGGACGGGUGAGUAACACGUGGAUAACCUACCUAUAAGACUGGGAUAACUUCGGGAAACCGGAGCUAAUACCGGAUAAUAUCUUGAACCGCAUGGUUCAAAAGUGAAAGACGGUCUUGCUGUCACUUAUAGAUGGAUCCGCGCUGCAUUAGCUAGUUGGUAAGGUAACGGCUUACCAAGGCAACGCUGCAUAGCCGACCUGGGAGGGUGAUCGGCCACACUGGAGCUGAGACACGGUCCAGACUCCUACGGGAGGCAGCAGUAGGGAAUCGUCCGCAAUGGGCGAAAGCCUGACGGAGCGACGCCACGUGAGUGAUGAAGGUCUUCGGAUCGGAAAACUCUGUUAUGAGGGAAGAACAUAUGUGUAAGGAACGGUGCACAUCGUGACGGUACCUAAUCAGAAAGCCACGGCUAACUACGUG
rnacentral:rRNA from 1 species